UGUAAAACAAUCUCUUAGAAGUUCAUCAUAAAUUGUUCUUCCUUACACUCUAAAGUCUUAUAUUGCAAUAGGACUACUGACAAGGAUCACACUGGUUUACUUGCAAUCUUCUCUAAUGCCAUGGGUGUUUAUUAGAUAUUUGUUAGCUAAACUCAUCAUAUUAUUGCUUGGAAGACAUCUAUGGAGAUGACGAAAAUACGUGAUGAACUGAAUGAGAAAGUAUCAGAAAUAAAGCGACUACAAAUUGAGUUAACUAGAAGGGAAAGUGACGUAGCAGGUGAGGCAGUGGAUAGCUUGAAAAGACUUGUCAAAACCUUAGAGAAGGAAAAUGCCACUCUUAAGAUGAAAAAGAAUGAAAUUGAGGCUGCUCUUGAAACAAGCAGGAAGUCUUUUGCGGCUAAUGUCCUUUCCAGUGCUUCUCAGAUGUCAGAUCCUUCCAAAAGUUUUCCAGAAAAGGAAGUAAUGAAAAGAUCCAUUACAAAAGCUAGAUAAAGAUUUGAUGGAUACACAGCAAGAAAAGGAGAAAGCAGUACAUGAAUUGACCCGCCUUAAACAACAUUUGUUGGAAAAGGAAGCUGAAGAAUCAGAAAAAAUAGACGAAGACAUCAAAACUAUUGAAGAUCUAAGGCAAAGCAAUGAUUAUUUAAGGGCUCAAGUAUCAAAUCUUGAGAGAACCCUGAAGCAGGCAGUUUUAAGUCAGGAAGAACUGAAGAUGGCAAACAACAGCGAAGUUCUCAAGUCUAGAGAAAUCAUCGACGACCUGGACAAGAAGCUUUCAAACUGUAUCGGCACAAUAGAUGCUAAGAAUCAUGAACUUUUGAAUCUACAGACCGCUCUUGGGCAGUACUAUGCUAAAAUUGAAGCCAAGGAACAUUUAGAACGAGAGUUGGUUCGUGCAAGAGAAGAAACAACUAGGCUUACUCAACUUCUGAGAGUAUGAUUCUCUUUCUUACUCUCUAAAUAUUCUAUAUAUAGUUCAAGUGAUACACAAAUUAAGUUUAUAUGGAAUAAUAUUAGAAUUUUUUUUAUUUCUUUUUUUUUCAUUCAGUACCGUAAAAUUUUUAUGUGAUGUAACUUCUAAGUGAUUUACACUAGUCUGGCAUUUAUUAUAUUUUCUCAACGGAAAAAGAUAAGUGAACUUGUGGUGUCUGAUUUGGUAACAAGACGAUUAAAUUUUUAUUUCCAUGAUCAAGAUGCCGAAAAUAAAGUAGAUGUAUCUAGGAUUGAGAAUGAAAAAGUUUUAGCCCAGCUUGCGCAUUCUGAGAAGGUACAAACUGAAUGGAGAAGCAGAGUAGUUAAACUUGAGGAAGACAAUUCCAAAGUUAGGCGAGCUCUUGAGCAAAGUAUGGUGCAACUAAAUAGAAUGUCUCUGGAUUCAGAUUAUCUUGUUGACAAGUUAGCUUGUUUCUGUCCUUUUUUCCAUUCAAAGAAAUGUGGUCAUUCACAAUAAAAUUUUUGUUUUUAAAAACUCACUUGACAAAAAAUUACCAAAUUUUAAAGAUGAAAAGAUCUAAUUUUUUUAAUAAUGAUUGCAAAAAUUUGCAUCAAAACUUGAUCUCUAAAGUCAAUUUUUUUGUUUGUCAUGAAUCAUUUCUCAUAUGAAUAGAUUUGUGUAUUUUAACAUGCCAUUCUAUGCUAGAGUUUCUUUGAACUUGAAGUGCAAAAAACUACAAACUACGACUCAUGAUAGCUAUCUCAAAAAUCAAAUUAAAGAUACAGUAUAGUGCGAUGGCAUUUUGGUUACCCUGAUUUUAGGGGCAAGCAAUUGGACGCUAUUCAAGCUGUUCUCUCAGGAAGAGAUUGUUUUUGUCUUAUGCCUACUGGAGGAGGCAAGUCGAUGUGUUAUCAGAUUCCUACACUGGCCAAAACAGGAAUUGUGCUUGUUGUUUGUCCUUUAAUAGGUGAAUCAUGUUCAUAUUUCCUAAUAUAUACAGUUGUGCAUCUUUCUUGAGCUGAAUUCUGUGUGGUAAUUCACUUGGUUUUUGCAUGCUAGGCAUAAUUGUGAUUUCUGACUUUUGUUCUGUUGACAGCCUUAAUGGAAAACCAAGUAAUGGCAUUAAAAGAGAAAGACUCAACAGAUCCCUGAUGGAACCAUUGAAAUCAAUGCCGCCAUGCUUGGCUGCUUUGAAACACAUAUCUUAGACAGCGGUGACAUUGGCUUUGCUGUCAAGGGUUAGUUUUCUGUUUUCAUAUGCAACCAUGCUUAUACAUUGUCCCUGUUUGGUUUGUAUAUUAUAGGUGCUGAUCGUUUACUCAGACAUUUACAUGCAAAAGGUGUUCCGAUUACCUUGGCAACUGGUUCUCACAAGUGACACUUUGAAUUGAAAACUCAAAGACAUGGUGAUUGCCACCAACGCUGCUAAACAUCACCAAGAAAUCCUUGCUCGUUCGCUGCAUCUUCAACGUUAGCUCCAUCUUCAACUUUUUUAUUCUUCUUUAGUUUAUUUAAUUAUUUUAUCUCAGCUGUGAGUGAAACACCUUGGAGAACCCUUGUCUUUCUUUAAUUUUGUUCGCUUAUGUCUUUCGCUUUGGACAAUAUUUAUUUUUUCCUCUUCUGAUAAAUAAAAUAAAUUGGAUGUCUUUGGAAAAAAAAAGAAAUCGGGAGUAUAA